rnacentral:rRNA from 1 species
AUUGAACGCUGGCGGCAUGCCUUACACAUGCAAGUCGAACGGCAUCGCGGGAAAGCUUGCUUUCCUGGCGGCGAGUGGCGAACGGGUGAGUAACACAUCGGAACGUACCGGCUAGUGGGGGAUAACCCGUCGAAAGACGGGCUAAUACCGCAUACGCUCUUCGGAGGAAAGCAGGGGACCUUUGGGCCUUGCGCUAGUCGAGCGGCCGAUGUCCGAUUAGCUAGUUGGUGGGGUAAAGGCCUACCAAGGCGACGAUCGGUAGCGGGUCUGAGAGGACGAUCCGCCACACUGGGACUGAGACGCGGCCCAGACUCCUACGGGAGGCAGCAGUGGGGAAUCUUGGACAAUGGGGGCAACCCUGAUCCAGCAAUGCCGCGUGGGUGAAGAAGGCCUUCGGGUUGUAAAGCCCUUUCGGCAGGGAAGAAAUCGGCGGGGCGAAUAACCCUGCUGGAUGACGGUACCUGCAGAAGAAGCACCGGCUAACUACGUG